rnacentral:misc_RNA from 1 species
UUAUAUAAUUUGCAGUCUUCCAUUCAUUAGUAUCAUCAUCAGCCUUAAUUUUAUCAUAUCUAAGUAACAAAUAGCUAAUUUCUGCUUCAUUAAUAUGGAUCUUUUAGAUCCAUAUUUUAGGCUCCAGCACUUGCGAAUUGUGAUCUUAUCAUCCUAAGCAUUGUUAUGUCAACUAUGCUCAAUUAUGAACAUUUUCCCAAGCCUAUUGCAAAAUAAAUGAUGUUUGGUUUUGCAACAUGAUUUUGAUGUUUCAACUUUCCCAAGACCGUUUCAUGUACGAGGUUAAAAUACGAUAGAGCUUGAAAAGAGUUGUUUGGUCUUACCAAUUGGAGCCUUCUGAAUGAAUGUGCCUUCUACUCUCCAGAGAAAAAAGCAUCAAUGUUAAUGAUCCAAUAAUAAGAAAAGAAGUGUGGCUUGUACACGAUGUCAAUCCAAUUUUCAAUUCCCAUAUCCAGUCUAACAUCAAUUUGUGCAUAAUGUAGUCACCUUCCAACUCUGUUCUUUAAACUUAUGCAAGCGCAAGCAAACCACAAAUAUUUAUAUCAGCAAUUAAAAAGUGUAGAUGAUUCUAAAAGCUUAUGUCAACUUUAACUAGCAAAACCAUAACCAAAUAUAACUGAGAUAGAAAUUAUCUCAACGAAGGAAGCAAAGACGAUGUGCUCAUAACCUUCAGGUAGAAACCCCAAGAUGCACUUCCUUCAGUGAUCGGUUUUUUACCAAAUGGGUGUUGCUCUACAAACUUCUGUACAUUGUCGGCUUCAGCCAGUCCUUCCAAAUAAACUCUAAGAUCACCUCCAUCUCCUGAUAUGAAUUGCAUUCAAUUGUCAUUCAUUGGCAUUGUCUUACACCAAUAACACAAGUUAAGCACAAUAUCAAACAAUCUAGACCACCAAAAAUAUCAUACAACUAACAUACAUGACAUAUUGCACAUUUUAAUUUAGCUAUUAAAAUUUUCUUUAAGCUUAAGACAGAUAUGGCUACGAUAAGAAGUAAGAACUGCCAUGAUAGCAGUGCAUAUCAGCUGGGCCUCACCAUGCCUUGAAAGUGAACCUUAUCCACCAUAAGUCAAAAGAAAUCAGUUAAAAAAUAUUUGGAUGGUAAUAGAGAUCUUAAACAUUAUAGAACAGUACAUUGUACCAAAUUGUAUCUUACCUAAAGCAUUAUCCUUCCUGUCCUGACACUGGUAUGAGUAAGGGAAUAUUGCAGUAUGCACAGGAUUAAGCAAUGCUUUAUAAGGUGAAUCAUCUAAUAACAAGGUAUUUGAUUCAUCAUAAAAUCCCUUCUCCCAAGGAAGUUCAGGAUCAUGUUUUUCCCAUAUUCUCCUCAGUUCCUUGAAAACCAAGGGCUUAUGCUUGUUUUCAAGGGUAUUGUAUCGUGUCAUAGUACAGUGUGACACAUCCCAACAAAACAUUAACUUGCGCUUCAUGUCUCCCAUCAAAUAGUCAACGAUGUUAUCCAUAUUCUUCUUCAUUCUUGAAGACCAGAUGCCCACUUCAAAUCUCUCAAAACAAAAGUUUAGAAAAUCAAGACAAAAGGGUCUCGCAAAAAUUGCUUGUCUUCUAAUUCUUAUGUCUGCUUUGAAACCCUUUGGAGGAGAAGAAACUAUAUCCACAAGCAACCCAUUUAAAUCAAGAACAAGAAGUUUUUUCUUCAAGUGGCAAGCUGGUGGUCUUAUUGACAAAGAAGCCAAACUUUCUGAGAGGACAUUCUCUUUGUCACUAAUAACAAGUGAAAUAUGUUUAUUAGUUUCACCCACAUUGGACAAAAGAAUUGCCUCAUCGUCACCUUUAUCCAAUAAACAAAGAGUUGAAAAAUUAUUCAAAUCAUCAAUAUGAGGCAGGCUACCUUCCUCAACCUUCUUAUGAGUUGAAUCACUAAUAUCUUGCACAUCAUGUUUUCCCCUAUUUCUGAAACUUGGUUGAUUUUUGUGCUCAAAGCUCAUUAUUGAAGGAUUAUUGGUUUCCGCGUGUGUGUUCAAAAUUAUAAAAACUUUGAAAGAGGCAAUUUGAUUCCACUAACAAGGAAUCUUAUAUUUCACUCUUGGUGAAUAAGUAUCCUUGAAAUCCUCGAUAUUUUCAAAUGGCAGUUGUUUUCUACUAUUUUCUUGACCAUAUCAGUUUCACAUGUUCUAAAGUCUUGUGUAUCAUUCCCCUCAUCAAAUUGAGUCCUGCAAGUUUGGAGAAAAGAAUAAUAAAUGGCUUUCAACUAUAUUAAAUUAAAUAUCAUACAAAGAAAUAAACAAGUUAACACAUUAAAAAUUAGCAUAGCAAAACCAAAUGUGAUACAAAAUUACUGAGGAAAAUCUGAGCCUGAGAUAACAUAAACCUAAAAGUUAUAGGAUAUGACCCAUUUUAGGAGCAAAUUAAUCAUUGAUGAUUUUGGUCAAACUUAAGAUAUUCUAGACAUUUCUUAGCUUCAUUCAUUAUAAGUCUGUCCAUUCAUUCAAAAUUCAACUGAACUCAUUUGCCUUAAUCUUAGUUGGAGCUGGAUAUAUGGAUCAUUAGUUUAUUUUAUUUAGGGCCGAUUGCUUUGAUUUGCAGUGCCACUGAAGUAAACCAUUUUAACUCGUAUAGUUUAUUAUACAACUCUCCUCUUCUUUGCUUCUAUUACUUCAAUCCAAUCACUCUUCCACACUAAUGCAUGAAUAAGUCUUUGUAGAACACAGCCAAACCAUCUCAAACAUUCCUUCAUCAACUUAUCCUCUAUGAAUACACAAAUUGCUGCUCCACAACAUUUUCUGGUCUCUAUGUAUUCAUCUUAAUAUUCUUACUUUUGAAUGCACUCAAUUUUUGCAUAUAUUGUUGGGUCACCACCCAGAGCUCAUAACCAUAACGCACAUAGAUCCUGACCACCAUUUUAUAGGAUUUAUACUCUGCCUAACAGAAACUUUCAGAAGGCAUAGCUUAACAGUGGCAGUCUUCCACAGCCUUCCACAUUCAAUUGUAUUACAAAUUCUACCAUUCACAGACAAAUACCAAAAGACCACCAAAGAAAAUGGAGAGAGAGAGAAUUAACAGUAGAUACUUUCUAGAGCUCAAAGAAGAUAUUUCAGUGUUGUAAUGAAUCAUAUCACGUACAUUACAACAACAGAAACCAGUGGAGAAAACAAAAACCAAAAUAUGACGAGGGUAGCUAAGGAACAGACAUUCCAAACGCAAGAGGGAGAAUUUUAGAGAAUAUAUGCUGCUGUAAUUUUAUUAGUAAUAAUCUGAUCUGAAAUAAAUAAAAACGUGGGAUAUUUAUAGAGGUUUUUAAACCCCUAAACAUAAAAGGAAAAGAACUCUACGAAUUAGGAGAAUUUAAUAAACCCAAAUACAGCAGGAAACCUAGAUUAUAUAGGCAAGUGGGAGAAAAGUAGAUUUAGAUAAAAUCAAGUCCUAAAUAAUGUUGGAGACAAUCCCCAUUAAUUUCCGCAGCUGCUGGGGCCAAUCCUUGAAGUCCUAAGUAAAAUAGGACUGCUUGAACUGAAAUAAAACAAAAGAAAACGUUGCUGUUAUAUUGGAACAGUGUGGUCAUACUCUGCUUUCCCCCUGUUCACACGCAUGCUCUGUUUUUCCCCUGUUUUCCUUCCAGUUUUCUUUCUUCGUUUUUUCCUAUGUUAUUUCUUACAUUUUACCAAAAAUUCUUCCACUAAUUUCAACGACAUCAAAAUAAAGCCUUACACCACCCCUGCUUCAAAUGUUAAUUGAUUAAACGAGUUUAUAGUGCCUAAAGUAACAACUAGUCUCAUUCGAGACUCACAAAUUGUCAGCUAAUUAACAAGGAUCAAUUGUCAGUAAGUCCUAGUGAUUGCUAAAGGUAGUUCAAGAAGGUAAUGAAAAGCAGGAAAGCAAAGGGAUGGAUUUAUCACGUGCAACAAAAUUCUGAAGCUGUACAACUGUACAAGGCAUUAAAAGAACAGCAUGAAGGUCAAAAAUAGAACAGAGAAACAAAUAUAUCGUAGAAUUUGCCAUGCCACAAUCGAAAAGGCACAUUCAUA